UGACUCUCUAUUUAAAGCUUUCAAGGGAAGGCGAGAUUUUUUUCUUUGCACGUUGCUUCUUUGCUAGUUUUUUUUCUUUCUUCCGUUUCUUUCAGCUUAGGGUUUUGUUGUCUGAUAUUUUUCUUUUGUUUUUAUUUGUUAUGUAUGUUCCUCGAGAGCGUAGCAAUCGGUGCUGAUGACUGCUGCAACAAAAGGUGAUUAGGAUUGAUAUUGGUCCUUCUGGAGCUUUAUGGCAACGAAAUAGACUCAUGAGAGAUGCUGGUGAUACCUUUUAUCGUUUUCAUGGGUAAGACGAUGAAACUAAUUCUUCUUUUUUCUUUUCAAUCUAGGUUCUUUUUUUUGGUUUGUUUUUUAUCCCGUUGCUUCUCUUUUUUCUUUUUUUUUUUUUGCAAAAAAGAGGAUCUGAAGAUAGAAGACCCUCGAUACAUGGAUGAGGAGAUAAAUGUUUCUUCAAUUUCCUAUGGAUUUUUCUUUUUGAUUUUUUUCUUCUUUUCUAUGAUUUUAAUCCUCUUAUUAUCCUACUUUAUUUUUAUUGUUGAUUUAAUUAACCAGCAAAAAAGAGUCGCAAGGCGGAAACUUGAUAGUGAAGCUUAACAAGAGAAUUUGGCAACACAUCCCAUCCAGAGCGAUGCGCGUAUGUACUUAAAAUUUUAUUUAUAAUCAUUCGGGGUUCUUAAGUUUUAGAUUUUGUUAGUCUUGCUCUGUAGCCUGUUAUGCUAUUUUAAUUUAUUUACGACUUAUUUGGUUGUUCGUUUUA